rnacentral:rRNA from 1 species
GACGAACGCUGGCGGCGUGCUUAACACAUGCAAGUCGAACGGCAAGGCCCUGCUUUUGUGGUGUGCUCGAGUGGCGAACGGGUGCGUAACACGUGAGUAACCUGCCCUUGACUUUGGGAUAACUUCAGGAAACUGGGGCUAAUACCGGAUAGGAGCUCCUGCUGCAUGGUGGGGGUUGGAUCGUCUCGGCGGUUGGGGAUGGACUCGCGGCUUAUCAGCUUGUUGGUGGGGUAGUGGCUUACCAAGGCUUUGACGGGUAGCCGGCCUGGGAGGGUGACCGGCCACAUGGGGACUGCGAUAGGGCCCAGACUCCUACGGGAGGCAGCAGUGGGGAAUAUUGCACAAUGGGCGGAAGCCUGAUGCAGCAACGCCGCGUGCGGGAUGACGGCCUUCGGGUUGUAAACCGCUUUCGCCUGUGACGCAGCGUGAGUGACGGUAAUGGGUAAAGAAGCACCGGCUAACUACGUG